ACAAUUCUCAUAAAAGAAAGGAGGGGAAUGACAGAGUCAAUUCCUAGGGAAGUUGAUAGGAAGUCUAGGGGUCCCCAAGGAGAGAGGGGUCUGGAAUUCUCAAGGAAGAAAGGACAAACAUUUUUUUCCCUCUACAUUCCUUAGGAUUAUAUAACAAUAAUGUAUCCUGCUU